rnacentral:rRNA from 1 species
UAGUCCACGCCGUAAACGUUGGGCGCUAGGUGUGGGGCUCAUUCCACGAGUUCCGUGCCGCAGCAAACGCAUUAAGCGCCCCGCCUGGGGAGUACGGCCGCAAGGCUAAAACUCAAAGGAAUUGACGGGGCCCCGCACAAGCGGCGGAGCAUGCGGAUUAAUUCGAUGCAACGCGAAGAACCUUACCAAGGCUUGACAUACAGGGAAAUCUCGCAGAGAUGUGAGGUCCGCAAGGGUCCUGUACAGGUGGUGCAUGGUUGUCGUCAGCUCGUGUCGUGAGAUGUUGGGUUAAGUCCCGCAACGAGCGCAACCCUCGUCCUAUGUUGCCAGCGGGUCGUGCCGGGGACUCAUAGGAGACUGCCGGGGUCAACUCGGAGGAAGGUGGGGAUGACGUCAAAUCAUCAUGCCCUUAUGUCUUGGGGCUUCACGCAUGCUACAAUGGCCAGUACAAAGGGCUGCGAGACCGUGAGGGUGGGAGC